UAGCUCAACAUCAACGACAAUAACGUAGAGUUCGAAGAAUUGAUUAAAGUUCAUGAAGUCCGGUGGAAAUUUGCAUUUUCUUCAAAUAUGGAGCCCGAACUUUUGGUGCGAGUUCUCAAAGCUUUGAGUCGUUUAGUGGUCCGAAAUUUCCACCGAUGACCGGAUCUUCUUUUGAUGUCGGAUAUGAACAUGUUAUUGAACAGGGCUUUUCUUCAAGUUUUGAUGGAUCUUUUCCGUUACGACCAGAAAUCUCUGGCCAGAAAUCUCUACGCCUGCUGCAAAAUGAUUUGAUAUGCAUACAGGUGUGGAUACUUUUUGGAAAUUAUAAAUUAAAUUGUUCUUUCAAACUUUUAUGUAAAUGUAA